rnacentral:rRNA from 1 species
GACGAACGCUGGCGGCGUGCUUAACACAUGCAAGUCGAACGGAAAGGCCCUGCUUUUGUGGGGUGCUCGAGUGGCGAACGGGUGAGUAACACGUGAGUAACCUGCCCUUGACUUUGGGAUAACUUCAGGCAAGUGGGGCUAAUCCCGGAUAGGAGCUCCUGCUGCAUGGUGGGGGUUGGAAGGUUUCGGCGGUUGGGGAUGGACUCGCGGCUUAUCGGCUUGUUGGGUGGGUAGUGGCUUACCAAGGCUUUGACGCGUAGCCGGCCGGGGCGGGUGACCGGCCACACUGGGCCUGAGAUGCGGCCCAGCCCCCUACGGGAGGCAGCAGUGGGGUAUAGUGCACUAUGGGCUGAACCCUGAUGCAGCAACGCCGCGUGCGGGAUGACGGCCUGCGGUUUGUAUUGCGCUGCCGCCUGUGACGAAGCGUGAGUGACGGUAACGGGUAAAGAAGCACCGGCUAACUACGUG